rnacentral:lncRNA from 1 species
GAAGUCUAUUUCCAGUGUGGGUUUCUAAAAGGACUCACUUGCCUGUCUUUUUCAACAGCAGAGUCAUGAGCUGUUUCUGUUUUCUUGAGCAGAAGUUUAUUGAGAGUUGCCUGGACAGUUGGACGUAGAGGGAUUUGUAUGACAAGCUUUGGCUUAAAGCCGGCAUUUGCUUGUCGGUCCUUGAGAAAACAUCAGGCACUAGGCACGUAGCAGGGCGCUUCAGGGUGUGACUUCAGAGCCUGACUGCCAGGGCUUGAAAAGCAUGAGGCAUUAUCAGUUGGCUGACAGUAGCCUAAACUUCGAAGGCAAUGGCACCCCACUCCAGUACUCUUGCCUGGAGAAUCCCAUGGACGGAGAAGCCUGGUGGGCUGCAGUCCAUGGGGUCGCUAAGAGUCAGACAUGACUGAGCGACUUCACUUUCAUUUUUCACUUUUAUGCAUUGAAGAGGGAAGUGGCAGCCCACUCCAGUGUUCUUGCCUGGAGAAUCCCAGGGACGGGGGAGCCUGGUGGGCUGCUGUCUAUGGGGCCGCACAGAGUCGGACACGACUGAAGCGACUUAGCAGCAGCAGCCUAAACUGGGGUUGGCCAGGUACCGGAAAGCUAAUUUUGACCAAAAAACACUUUCUCAUUUUCUAGGCCAUCUUAGCGGCUCAGAGACGAGGAGAAGAUGUGGAGACUUCUAAGAAAUGGGCCGCCGGCCAGAACAAGCAGCAUUCGAUCACCAAGAACACGGCCAAGCUGGACCGGGAGACCGAGGAGCUGCACCACGAUCGGGUCACCCUGGAGGUCGGCAAGGUCAUCCAGCAGGGCCGGCAGAGCAAGGGGCUGACGCAGAAGGACUUGGCCACGAAAAUCAACGAGAAGCCGCAAGUCAUUGCGGACUACGAGAGUGGCCGGGCCAUUCCCAACAACCAGGUUCUGGGCAAGAUCGAGAGAGCCAUUGGCCUGAAGCUCCGGGGGAAGGACAUUGGGAAGCCGAUCGAGAAGGGGCCAAGGGCAAAAUGAACAUAAAGCCUCGAAAUCAGUGCGUUCCGGCUGAUCUCGUCCGGCUGGUCCCCUCGACCACCGGCGCCAGCACGGCUCUCUCCACGCGGCCGAGCGGAACAUGGGCGGGAGCCCCGCCCGGGAACCCCUCUCAUCGUACCUGCUGUCUAACUAACAAAACCUUGCAAAGUGUUUGCUUCUGAUUUUUUUCUUCCCUGCCCCCCGCCCUCAGUGGGGUGCAGAACACUGCCUUCCUCUCCCCCGGGGUCCAUCCCGCUGCGGGGAUGGCUCCGGGGAGCUGGCAGGGGGUGGGUGGUCACCAUCUGGGAGAGGAGCUGUAUGUCCAGCCUGGCUCGUAGAGAAGCUAAUAAAGUUUUUGCCCUUCUGCUGGUGGUGUUUCCU